UCCCCACCCGGCCCGCCUCUCCACCCCGAUAUCUUCCACCACCAUCAACCCCCCCCCCCUCGGCGAGGAGUAAAGUGCCACCGCUCCGCCUUCUCCUUUUCGCAAUGUUGACGCAAUCUAUAAAUAGUGGAACAAAAGAACCAACUUCCUCGCAGCUUUGCUGAAACUGCACAAAAAAGGCAACCGGGGGGCGAGGGGGGGACGGGACACACACGGUUAUUUUUUGAUUUUAUUUUUUCUCCGGUUAAAAGGCGAAUCCUUCCCCCCCUCGACACACACGCUACUGGAAGAUUAUUUAUAUUUUUUUUUUCCUCGCUGUCUCCUAUGCUGGCAACGUCCUGCGAGUGGCUGUUUUGCUUUUGCGCCGAGAGUACGGCUUCCUCCCCGCUUCUUCUGACACUUAUGGAUAAAAUCCACACACUGAUGUCUAACCUGUAAUGAAAGCUGAUCCUAUCAGAUUAAAAAACAUGAGACCCGCUGAAGCCAGCCCCGCUGGGGAGCCGGUCGCAGUGAUGCGCUGGGUCUUUGCCGAGGCAGGGGUCCGCAUAGCCCGCGGAGAGCUCACAGGAACGACUCCUCCAGCAGCCCAAAGUCAAGUGCAAGCAGCGGCUCCGGCGGCACUGCAGCCUGCCUUCCCCCGCGGCUUCCAGCGCCUCGCAACCUCCAUGUCGGCUCCCCCAUCUGUGAAACGGGGAUAGGAGCACGAACCCAACCCUCAGGUUUUGACCUUUCAAUAGAGAGCUGAUUUUGGAGAACGGCUUGCUCCUGUGAUUGAAAAACUCUCUGGAAGGUUGAUGGAGCAUGAGAAUGGGGAAUCUCAUUGAGAUGAUUGAAAUUGCUGCAGUGAGAAUGGAAAUUACUUGGGCUCCUUUCCUUUUAAAAGCUGUAUGCAAGAACUGUGUGGUGAGUCAAAUGUAGACUAAUGGUUAUGUAAAUGUCACUAAUUUUAGAUACAGUCAAGAUCUUCAAGUGUGUUUCCUUUUAAGAUUUUAUUUUCUUCACUAUCAUGACUCAGUAUCACUUUCUAAUCUCAUUUUAUUAGCCUUGUUGUAUUUUACCAUUAAAAUACAUAUGCCUUUUUCAAAUAAGUGCUCACAACUUCAACUUUAUAUAUUGUAUAGAUGUUUUAAAAUGAGGAAAAAAAGCUUGUCUCCACUGGAGUUUUGUUGUGACUUAAGGCUUCACAAGCAUGCUACUGGUGCAGUUGCACAGGUACAAGCAUGAUGUAGAUGAAUCUUCAUUCAAGUUGUUGUGAUUCAUAUAUCUGUAUUAUAUGACUGUAUAGAAUUUCAGCCUGGUGUAUGUGCUGGUAAAGUUCACACCUUUCUCUGCUGCCCCUGCUAUGGAUUUCAACUGGUGAAAGUACUGCUGGCUAAAAUUUCCGGUUCCGUUCAGACCUCAAUUGUAAAACUAUGCAGUAUUAGAUAGCCUACAGCUUUUCAUAAAGUAAACAUUUCUGUGUUUACAUUUACCUGCUACAGGUCUCUUAAGAUAUGCAGCCAAAAUGAGGUUGACUACUGAGGAAAAAAAAAAAACGCUCUUUGGCUCAGACUGUAACUGUUUAACACUAAAGAUCUGCACUUGCUUUUCAGCCAUUUGAAAAUUUAGAAAUCCUUGGAAAGACCGACCUCAUUGUUUACCUGCAUGGACAGAGCCAUAGCCCAUGGCUGAAUGGAACUCCCUCCGCUUUGCAGCUCUUGAGAUCCUAAGAGUUGUCUCAUUUAACAAAGGAAGGCUUGCUGUUUUCAGGUCAGAGGGUUGUUUCUGCUAGGCUUAGGAACUGUAUGGGAACAAAGAUGCUUUCUUCAUAUAAAACAAAAAGAGAAGGUAGGCCUGCUUGAAAAUAAACUGAGACUAGCAGCUGUAUAGGAAUGAAGACAACUAGUGAGAGAAGCAUUAGUCUAACAAUCUAAUGUUGAAAGGUUGGAGCUGAGAACUGAUAGUGGAAGGACAGAUCUGAUGAAAUGGAAAAUUCAACGGAUUAGGACAGGUUGGGCAAAACUGGGGGGUUUUGUUUGUUGAAAUUUGAACAAGCAGCAGCCUGACAAAAGGGAUCUGGCCUGAGGCAAAGAAAAUGAGUCAGGCUUGGGGAAAGGGGCUUUCGCAUCUGGGAUCAUUCCUAACAUUCACAGGAGCACACUGUGCUUCAGCUCCAGAAGGGAAUGCAGACUGUUAAGUAGUAGGUUUUGCUGUCAUCUGUGAAAUCACGCAAUUGCAUCCCCCUCAUCAUAUUCAACACAGAGAGGGCAACCUUUAGCGUUCUCAGCUACUUCAUUAAUUUUGGUCCUGAAAAGAAAUUCCAAAGUAACAUAGAUGAGGUUGGAAAGGACCUCUGGAGAUCAUCUAGUCCAAGCAGGGACAGGUAGAGCAGGUUUUUUUAGGGCUUUGUCCAGUCAGGUUUGCAAUAUCUUCAAGGAUGGAGAGUCUUCAACCUGUCCUGUUCAGAUAGUUUUUCCUGCAUCUCAUUUUGUGCCUUUUGCCUUCUGUCCUGUCACUGGACUCAGCUGAGAGAAGCCUGGCUGUGUCUUUGCUACUCUCCCUUGUCCCCUGCAUCAGGAAUUGAUAAAUUCUGGUAAGAUAACACACACACACACGCCUUUUCUUCUCCAGGUCGGAGUCCCAACUCUCUUGGCCUUCCUUCAUGUCAAAGGUGCUUCAGUUCUCUCAUUGUCAUUAUGGAAGUAAAUAAAGUGUUUCAACUAAUAUGGGAAUUGGAACUCAAAGAAGGAAAUGCUUUUUCUGGGGGGAGGUGCUGGAAACAAAACACAACCUAGUAACUGUGAAAAGAACAUGACGAUUACAAAAUGGAACACUAAGAAGUUGGGUAACUCCUGCUUUGAGAUUCUGCAAUCUUCAUUUGCCCCCUUGUGUUAGCAUGCUAUGAAGCAAUCUGCAUGAUCAUACAGAAUAUUUAAUCUAAUGAUAGGACUAGCCUGGUGUGGUACUGAGCUAGGGAAGAUGUUUGUGGGCUGAGCAUACAAGAAGCCUGAUGCUGCUAUAGGUAGAAAAUUUCUGUAGGCAACAGAACAAAAGACUGCAAGUAGAGGAAACCAUGUCCUUGUGGUUAUGUCAAAUGAGAAUUCCUGAGAAGUGAAUGUGAUGUUUUUCUGCUUUUAUCCUUAUAUGUUGCUAAACAGCUUACCAGGCUGUUGUUUUCAUAGUACUUGUAUUCCUCCUUUCAGAGGUGUCUGACUUAAGAGCCUAACAGGAAACACUGGCUGUUCACAUUUGCAGCUGAGCUUCUUAGGAGAUGUUGUUUGAAUUAAAAUAUCAUGUGAUAUGAUGUCUGUUGAGUCUCUUCUUGAACAAGUUACCUCACAUUCUUGCAUGCUACUAUAGUUUCAACAUCUCCAUGUCACACUUAAAAUAGGGUACUUACCUUGAAGGGCUUUUGGUUCUUGAUUUUAAAAACACAACACUUUUAUUUAGCAGCUGUACUACAGUAAUCCUCAAGGAAUUUUCUGUGGCCUUUAUUCUGAUCCGAGAGGAAGAGGUGAGUAUUGUGCAUCUUUUAAAAACCAGGUUUGUAAUCAAUUUUCCUUGUUGUCAGCUGAAGAUGAGAAACUGAGUUUCCACAUUGUUGAUUCAUGGUCUAUUCAUCCAGUCCUGUGAACUCCAAAAAGUUGUGAUUUGUGUCCAGUCUUGUCAGGGAUUCAUUUUGCAUAUAUAGCUAUUAAUAUUAAACACUUGUUUGUCCCAUUUUUGUAAUGUGGUUUCAUGAGUAAUAUCUUUAAUAUUCUGCAGAAUCUUUUACACACUAAAAGUAAUGUUCAUGUUUGA